rnacentral:rRNA from 1 species
GACGAACGCUGGCGGCGUGCUUAACACAUGCAAGUCGAACGGAAAGGCCCUGCUUGCAGGGUACUCGAGUGGCGAACGGGUGAGUAACACGUGGGUGAUCUGCCCUGCACUUCGGGAUAAGCCUGGGAAACUGGGUCUAAUACCGGAUAGGAGCCAUUUUUAGUGUGAUGGUUGGAAAGUUUUUUCGGUGUAGGAUGAGCUCGCGGCCUAUCAGCUUGUUGGUGGGGUAAUGGCCUACCAAGGCGGCGACGGGUAGCCGGCCUGAGAGGGUGGACGGCCACAAUGGGACUGAGAUACGGCCCAGACGCCUACGGGAGGCAGCAGUGGGGAAGAUUGCACAAUGGGCGCAAGCCUGAUGCAGCGACGCCGCGGGGGGGAUGACGGCCUUCGGGUUGUAAACUCCUUUCGCUAGGGACGAAGCUUUUUGUGACGGUACCUAGAGAAGAAGCACCGGCUAACUACGUG